rnacentral:lncRNA from 1 species
AUGACUGAAGCAGUGGUGAGGAGGCUCACCCCCAGGAUUCCACACGGCCCACCCCGGGCCACCGACCCAGAAGCUGCGGACCUCAUCGCUGCAUCACCGGCGGGCCCUUUCAUGUUCCAUUGUCAACGUGCAGUUGAGCGCAAUAGGCUUGAAUAUGCUGCUUUGAGCCCAACUCUGGCACUGUGUAGAGGAGGCCAGGUUGUUUGUCGGGGCCACUGUGACGUCAGAGGAUUGGGCAUAAUUGUGUGUCUGCUGUCCCGGCAAGCUUCAUGGACACAGGGCUUCAGAGCCCGCUUGGAGCAGUCUCAUAACUCACCCUUCCCAGUGAGCCCAGGUUUGACCUCCGCUGCCGUCUUUUGGCUUGUGACUUUCUCUGACUUUCACACGUUCAGCAGAGCCUGUCUAAAGACUGACAUCUGUCAUCGUGGAUUAUUCAGGUGUGAUAUCUGUUCGCCUUGCAUUUUCUGGGACCUUUUUUUCUUUUCCACAGUAUACUCGUCAUGGUCUUUCUCAGCUAUCUCCCUUAGAUAUGCUUAUCAGUCCGUUCUCCUUCAGUCCCAGGGAUUAAUUUUGUAUUUCUUGAAUCACCGGAUGUUCUCUAGGCCGAGGUGUGAGUGCUUUCGUGGUUGCUGUCUUUGAAUUUGCACCGGUCACUUGUAGGACUCUUUGCUAUCCUAGCCUAGGUCAAACGAAGCACUGAGAACCCUUGGUCAUCUGGGUUGGUUUGACAUCCUGAGAUCAGAAACUCCAAAUUCGAGGUGGUCCUUGCAACCCCCUUCAUGGACAUAAUGUUUCUCAGAGACAAAUUAGGCAAAUCUGAUGAAUUCCUCUCUCCAGGAAAGAUAAUUUUCUUUCUCUUUUGUGUAUUUGGGGAGUUUCGAUCUUGACCCCUGACCCUUGAACGUUGCCCUAGAUUCCGUCUAGAUACGGGCUUACUUUAUGUCUAUAGGGUGUGACAUUUGUUUGACCUACAUCCUCAGCCCUGGCAUGUCUAUUUUUCUGGAAACAGAAUUGUAAUGUUCUAAUUUUCAGCCAGCUUCCUUCCAUAUGGCGUCAAAGCACAUAAUCAAUAAUCCCUCUACGGCAAGAGGUAGAGAGAGAGAAUUUCAUUGGAGCCAAAGUGAGCACUCCAGCCUGGGAGUGCAGUCUUCACAAAGGAACCAAGCCCUCUGGAAAAGGGUGAUUUUCAGCACACUUGUAGAGCCCUUCCCAACAAAGAGACCUAGCCCAAGCAUGACAGGGCUCCAUUCCUUCAAGGCCUCCAAGACAUCUCUGGGGACGCAUUAGCAUGUGGCCAGAGGGCCCCCGUGACGCCAGAGCUAUGCAAAGUGAGACUGAUCUUCAAAGAAUGCUAGGGGCCUAGGAAAGGAGGCAUCGACUCUUCUCUUCAAUGUCCUCAAGAGAUCCUUCUUGACUUUGGAUUAUGCUUAAGGCAGAAGGACACUGUAGGUCUGAUAAGGCCCAAGUCCGGCCUCGUGUUUCCAAUCAAGUUUCAAGCUUGAAUCAGCAUGGCCUCCCCAUAGACUUGAACAGAUGACAAUGUUGUCCUCUCAGUGCUUGUCCCUCUAUUCUCGCUUCUUGCCAAGGAUUCCUUUCUUAUGCCUGGAAUCAGAGUCUGUUUGAUCUCUUCCAGUUUCUG